UUAUAUUUGUUUUUCUUUCAGAAUCUGAAUACACUCAAAGAUAGUAUUGAAGACACUCAGAAACAAGUUGCCCAUUAAUGCCACUCCUGUUGACCUGAUACCUCUGUGUCCUCAUAGCCACAAAGGCAGACACACUUUAAGGUGACCCCAGGAGUCAACUCUCUUUUUGUUCAAGCCUGUGCAAUCACCUGUUGAAUGUGGAUAAGACCUGUGGCUUGCUUCUAAUCAGUGGAAUA
rnacentral:lncRNA from 1 species